rnacentral:tRNA from 2 species
GGCUCUGUAGCUUAGGUGAUUCCGUUCAAAGCCACAGGCUUUGGACGGCUUGAGAGCGUCAGAUUCCGGUUCUGAAGGUCGUGCGUUUGAAUCGCACCGGGGUCA